rnacentral:lncRNA from 1 species
AUACCUGUUGCCGUGCACAUGAGAGGCACAGAAUGCAAAGCUGUAAUGGAGCAGGGUAGGGUCAAUGACAGCACCAUUUUCUGAAUGUUCCAUCAGUUCUGCAAGGUAGCAGAGAUGUCUGUGACAGCCUCUCACACCAUAACGGGCACAGUACUCAUCUAACACAAAGACUUGGCCAGGGCUAAACCUUUCCUUUGUUAUGUAUAGCUCCUGUCAUAUUGUUAAUUCCACUCUUUC